GGAAAAGUCAAUGUGAAGGACAGUUAAAUACAUCAGGGCUUCUCAGCGUGAAGAAAUGAGACCAGGCAGGGUAUGACAGAAGACUAUGAAGCUGUUCCUGAAGGAGUCUUGAAGUGUCAUCUGCUGCAAAACGUCGGAAUUACGGAUGCCAAGUGAAACAGCGGUGCUUUCACCCUGAACCUGAUGCUGAGGGUGUGAAUUACCUAUGGGAAAGUGAAGGCAAUAUGACCGCUUUCAUAUUUCCUGGGAGUGAAUUACAGCCAGGACUUGUACUUGCUGUGAGAGAAUAUCCAGGUUCACACACCAGUUCAGGUCAGCUACUUAGACAAUACAUGGGAAAUCUGUUUUGGCUGUUGGACUGAGAACUCUAAGCUCAUUUCACAAGUGAAAGGUUACAGCAGAACAAUUCUCGGUACAGGAGGGAAUUUAGAGCACCUUUAUAAAUGCAGUGCUGGAUGUCUGCUUCAGCUGACUUUCUGUAUUUCCCUUUUCCUGCCAGAAAUCCUUUAUUUUCUAAAAAUAUUUACUUGACUCUGCAUAUUGCUGUCUAAUCUAGAGAUGGAUAAUACAGUGCUGAUUUUAAAAUCCUGACUGGUACAGGAUGUAAGAAUGACUUCUAAAAUAGUGCUAAAAUGAGUUGCUUUGGAACAAAUUUUCUAACCUAAUCUGUUCUUCUGGGUGUAGUGGUUUCUACAGCACACACCCCCCCUCCCCCAACCUCUACUGCUGUCCUAAUCUUCUAGACCAUUUAGUACCCUCCUCUUAUCCUAAGUAAAAUACAAUUGCUGGCUCUGAUAUUCAUUAAGUGAUAAUCCAGAUUAAUUCAGACUUUGGUGCGGAAACAGGUUGUAUUUCAGCUGCAAAGAAAUCCAGAUUGCCCCAUGCAAAAUGCACACACAUACACACGCGUAUGCACACGCGCACACAGUAUGUAGAACGCCUUAAAGAAACUGUAGCUAACCACCUUAUUAGUAUUCCUCCCUCCUCUGUGUUUCACUUGCAGCAACAGAGGGCUGAGCAAAAUGCAGUAGAACAGGGACAGAGACAGAGCUGGCAAUCAUCUCGGUGCAGGCUGCUGAAUGUAGGGGGUGGGGGGGAUGCAGCAAAGCAAGAUUAAUAACCUUGCCAUAAUCCUGUGCACCCUGGAAGGAGAUACCUCUGGUGACUGAGCUGUUCUUGUCUUGAUUAAUUGGACUGAGUGAAUGAGUGGCUGGCAAUCCACCUGGUUUGGAGGCGACCCCCUGGUUUUGCUGUUCUCUGAAUCCUCUACCCAUCUGGGAAGGUAACAGUGAGACGUACCAUCUGCAGCACACACAGCAGCUAUUGGAAGCUACUACUGACAGUUUGCACUACAGUUUUUGGUGAGCAAGAAGCCAGGUAUAUUGUACAGUAGGAUAUUUUUGUGCUCGAGCUACUGAAUUUCACAAUCUGGUCCUUCAGCAGCCCCCUACCCUCCCUUUUCCAAUUGCCUUUGAGUUCUGGGCUUACUUUGGCAUAGUCUCCUGGACGCAUUUGCUGGGGAUGGAAAAGCAAUAAAUGGAACCUCUGAAAACUAAUUGUUUUGCUUCUGUGUGACUCGAGAAAGAGAAAAGCGAAAAGAAUCAAAUCCAGCUGGAGGAAUUUAAAUUUCUUUGCAAAGUUUACAAAGGGACCAUACAAAAGAAAUGAAUUUCAUUAUGGAGAGAAAUCAUGAUUAUUUAUUGAUGCAGAAGGCAAAUGGGCUGAUGUUCUACCAGGUGUUCUGAACAACAUGUGAGUGUAAUACAUUUGCAGUAACACUGAUUACAUGUUCAAUUUAGCUAGUGAUUAUGACUUGAUUUUAACAAAGAAAAUUUAGAGAUGUUUCUUAAUUUAUUUUUAUCGCAGCAGCAGCAAAGAU